UUAACCUUCAGUACUCUUUAUAUAGUUAGGUAGGAGUCAGACCAUGUUUCUUUUAGCUGAAAAACAUUACACCAGGUAACUAGAUGUACAUGUGGUUUGGUUGUUUGCCUUUUGUUUGAAAUUACACUGAGAGAGGCAGCAGAGAGCACUCUAGAGGCUAAUAUGCAGUUCCACCAUAGAAACCAAUGCAUUAAAGAGAUAUGUACGUUUUAGUACGUUUUAGUAGCUGUCCACUCCAGUGACCACAAUGCAUCAGAGGGUACUGCUGCAUAGGCUGGGCUUUAGUUAUAUUGGUAGGAUACAAAGCAUUAAAAAAUGUUAAAAACACAAACGGCAUAUUAAACGUAGGAUAGUUUGGGUCUGGAAGCAGAAAUCCUCACAUCAUCACUUCAACCGGAUUACUUAAAUGUCUUAAAGACAUAAACUAUUAGGAGUUGGAGGCAUGCGUGUUGGUGUUUCUGGGGGUUGUUUUCCCCUUUCGGCACAGGUACGCGGGGCGGUGUUUGACGGCAUUCCAGCACACCUGCGGUGCAUCGGAUGUCAUCAGUGGGAGCAUUUAUGGAGCUGAGUGACGGACGUCGGGUGUCGGAUUAUUGUCGUUCCCACAAGUGCCUGUCUCGCCGCCUGCCCGCCUGCCUGUUUCUUUGUGUGCUGGCUCAUCUUUGGAUCUGUGACAGAGACUUACCUGGCGCUGGCCUGCGAUCGCUGUCAUUCCUGUAUUCUGGUGUUUCAAGUAGCUCUGGUUCGCCACCAAUCUUCCUGCAUACCUCGGCUCCGUUUUCAUCCCCUCCGCUCUGUUUAUUCGCACAUUUACCCGGCCAUUGUAUAUAGCCCCGUCCCCCUGUAAAUAUUUCCUGACCUCUGUUAAUAAAUCUGCUUCACCGCUA